AUAUUGCUAUCUAUACUUAGAUAUACUAUUAUAUAUAUUACUUUUUACAUAUAUUACCAUCUAUUCUUAGAUUUGAUCUAUUAUCAUAUCUGGAUAUUCCAGCCUAUUCAGCAGAACACGGAGUUGUUUUAGGGUCAUUUCAGAGAGUAUUCACACCUCCUGACUUUAUCCACAUUUUGUUGUAUUACAAAGUGGGAUUAAAAUUGAUUUCAUUGUCAUUGGUUUGAACGAUCGACACAAAACACAAAGUGGAAGAAAAAUUGUAAAACAUUUGUAAAAAAUGUAAAUGUAAAAUAAAACACAAAAUAUAUCUUUAUUAGAUAAGUAUUCAACCACCCUGAUUCAAUACACGUUAGAAUCACCUUUGGCAGCGAUAACAGAUGUGAGGCAUUCUGGGUAAGUAUCUAAGAGCUUUCCACACCUGGAUUGUGCAACACUUACCAAUUAUUAUUUUCAAAAUCCUUCAAACUUUGUGAAAUUGGUUGUUGACCAUUACUAGACAACCAUUUUCAGGUCUUUCCAUACAUUUUCAAGCAGAUUUAAAGUCAAAACUGUAACUCUGCCACCCAGGAAAAUUCACCAUCUCCUUGGUAAACAACUCCAGGGUAGAUUUGUUGUUUGUGUUUAAGGUUUAUUGUCCUGCUGAAAGGUGAAUUCGUCUCCCAGUGUCUGGUUGUAAAGCAGACGACCAGGUUUUCCUUUAGGAUUUUGCCUGUGAUUAGCGCUAUUCAUUUUCUUUUUAUCCUUGCCAAUGACAAGCAUACCCAUAACAUGAUGCGCUACAUGUAUUUUCUAUCAUGGAAAAAGCCAUGCAGCUUUAUUAUGCGACCUGUUAAAGCAAAUGUUGACCCCUGAUCUGGUUUAGGUUUGCCAUAACAAAGGGGUUGAAUACUUAUUGACUCAAGACAUUUCCAGAGCUGACAGGGUAAACAAAAAAAAAAUAUGUUGUUCUGCACCAGUUGAAUGCAUUCAUUUGGACAACUGACUAGGUAUCCCCCUUUCUGUUGGACAACUGACUAGGUAUCCCCCUUUCUGUUGGACAACUGACUAGGUAUCCCCCUUUCUGUUGGACAACUGACUAGGUAUCCCCCUUUCUGUUGGACAACUGACUAGGUAUCCCCCUUUCUGUUGGACAACUGACUAGGUAUCCCCCUUUCUGUUGGACAACUGACUAGGUAUCCCCCUUUCUGUUGGACAACUGACUAGGUAUCCCCCUUUCUGUUGGACAACUGACUAGGUAUCCCCCUUUCUGUUGGACAACUGACUAGGUAUCCCCUUUCUGUUGGACAACUGACUAGGUAUCCCCCUUUCUGUUGGACAACUGACUAGGUAUCCCCCCUUUCUGUUGGACAACUGACUAGGUAUCCCCCUUUCUGUUGGACAACUGACUAGGUAUCCCCCUUUCUGUUGGACAACUGACUAGGUAUCCCCCCUUUCUGUUGGACAACUGACUAGGUAUCCCCCUUUCUGUUGGACAACUGACUAGGUAUCCCCCUUUCUGUUGGACAACUGACUAGGUAUCCCCCCUUUCUGUUGGACAACUGACUAGGUAUCCCCCCUUUCUGUUGGACAACUGACUAGGUAUCCCCCUUUCUGUUGGACAACUGACUAGGUAUCCCCCUUUCUGUUGGACAACUGACUAGGUAUCCCCCUUUCUGUUGUAUAACUGACUAGGUAUCCCCCUUUCUGUUGUAUAACUGACUAGGUAUCCCCCCUUUCUGUUGGACAACUGACUAGGUAUCCCCCUUUCUGUUGUAUAACUGACUAGGUAUCCCCCUUUCUGUUGUAUAACUGACUAGGUAUCCCCCUUUCUGUUGUAUAACUGACUAGGUAUCCCCCUUUCUGUUGGACAACUGACUAGGUAUCCCCCUUUCUGUUGUAUAACUGACUAGGUAUCCCCUUUCUGUUGUAUAACUGACUAGGUAUCCCCCUUUCUGUUGUAUAACUGACUAGGUAUCCCCCUUUCUGUUGUAUAACUGACUAGGUAUCCCCCUUUCUGUUGUAUAACUGACUAGGUAUCCCCCUUUCUGUUGUAUAACUGACUAGGUAUCCCCCUUUCUGUUGUAUAACUGACUAGGUAUCCCCCUUUCUGUUGUAUAACUGACUAGGUAUCCCCCUUUCUGUUGUAUAACUGACUAGGUAUCCCCCUUUCUGUUGUAUAACUGACUAGGUAUCCCCCUUUCUGUUGUAUAACUGACUAGGUAUCCCCCUUUCCUUUUCAGCUUGAAUUCAUUUGUAAACAUUUCUAAAAAAACAUAAUUCUACUUUUACGUUAUUUUGCUUUUGUGUGUCGGAUCAGUGUCACAAAUUCUAAAUGUAAUCCCAUUUUAAAUUCAGGCUGUAACACAACAACAUGUGGUAGAAAGUCCAGGGGUGUGAAUACUCUCUGAAGACUGUGUAUAUAAGGUGGAGAAAGACAUUAGUUGAGAAGAGAGGAUCUCAGACACUGAUUAUUGAUCAGAUGAUCAGCAGUCUACUCUGACUUGUGCUGUUAUUACCUGUUGAAGUUAUGAUGUCUACAGCGGUGACAGACGGACGGAAGCACAGUCAGAAAAACAGACGGCCGUGACAGAUC